UGUGGGAGUGAUGAGUUGCACUAAUCAGCUGGGGUGUCGAGUUGACUGCUUCAGUCUGAUCCAACCUGAGGACACGCAAUGUGCACAGGGGCCAUCUGACCCAAC
ensembl:snoRNA small nucleolar RNA SNORD67